rnacentral:ncRNA from 1 species
CAUUCGACAAGGCAAACUUAUUGAAAAAUAAGGACGCAAAGCCACGGGUCUAACGUAGCCAUACUAUGAUCGUCGAGCUGUCAAA